CCUACGGGAGGCAGCAGGGAGGAAUAUGGGGCAAUGGGAGAGAGAAGGAAGAAGAAAAGGAGAGGGAAGGAUGACUGCCCUACGGGUUGUAACUUCUUUUAUAAAGGAAUAAAGUGAGGCACGUGUGCCUUUUUGUAUGUACUUUAUGAAUAAGGAUCGGCUAACUCCGUGCCAGCAGCCGCGGUAAUACGGAGGAUCCGAGCUUUAUCCGGAUUUAUUGGGUUUAAAGGGAGCGUAGAUGGGUUGUUAAGUCAGUUGUGAAAGUUUGCGGCUCAACCGUAAAAUUGCAAUUGAUACUGGCAGUCUUGAGUACAGUUGAGGUAGGCGGAAUUCGUGGUGUAGCGGUGAAAUGCUUAGAUAUCACGAAGAACUCCGAUUGCGAAGGCAGCUUACUAAACUGCCACUGACAUUGAUGCUCGAAAGUGUGGGUAUCAAACAGGAUUAGAUACCCGAGUAGUC
rnacentral:rRNA from 1 species